AGCAGCAGCCGCGGGAAUACGGAGGGUGCAAGCGUUAAUCGGAAUUACUGGGCGUAAAGCGCACGCAGGCGGUUUGUUAAGUCAGAUGUGAAAUCCCCGAGCUUAACUUGGGAACUGCAUUUGAAACUGGCAAGCUAGAGUCUUGUAGAGGGGGGUAGAAUUCCAGGUGUAGCGGUGAAAUGCGUAGAGAUCUGGAGGAAUACCGGUGGCGAAGGCGGCCCCCUGGACAAAGACUGACGCUCAGGUGCGAAAGCGUGGGGAGCAAACAGGAUUAGAUACCCCUGUAGUCCCUGUCUCUUAUAC
rnacentral:rRNA from 1 species